rnacentral:rRNA from 1 species
CAGCCGCCGCGGUAAUACGAAGGGGGCAAGCGUUGUUCGGAUUUACUGGGCGUAAAGGGCGCGUAGGCGGUUUCUUAAGUCUGAUGUGAAAGCCCCCGGCUUAACCGGGGAGGGUCGUUGGAAACUGGGAGACUUAGAGUGCAGAAGAGGAGAGUGGAAUUCCAUGUGUAGCGGUGAAAUGCGUAGAUAUAUGGAGGAACACCAGUGGCGAAGGCGACUCUCUGGUCUGUAACUGACGCUGAGGCGCGAAAGCGUGGGAAGCAAACAGGAUUAGAUACCCCCGUAGUCCCUGUCUCUUUAC